CCUCCUCCACCCUUCCCUCGACUCCUCCCUCCUCGCUUCCACCAAGCCCCCAGGUGAGGGCGGGGCCCCCCGCAUCCAAUCAUCUCUCGGCGGCCAGCAGCCACAACUCACUUGAGGGGGAGGUGCCUGUGUCUGACAUCUACUUUACUCAGGAGGACAGGAGCUGGGUAUACUCUCCUCUGCACUACGGCUCAGAGUCCAGACCAGCCUCCGACGGAGAGAGCGAGACAUAAGCUGAGUGCUGUCCAUGCUGAGGAGAGGACCUACACUCUGUCCACGCACUCGCUGAUGCUUUAUGAAGCCUGUACGAAUGCUCCCAGAUGCUUCCAUGAUGCUACAUAACCUCUGGUGUCACAAGCUGCACAUGAAGACCUGUAAUACGGACUGAGAUUGAGAUAGAGGAAAAAAACACACAAAUAUAUACACACGCACAUACACCAAUGUAUAAACAAUCACACACACACAUAUACAGACCUAAAAAAAAAAGUAUGCAACACUAUUGUACUAUUGGGAAGUAAACCAACGUAUUGAAUAGGAUAUCUGUAACCAUCUCCAAUACACCAUGUACAAACUUAACUCCAUCCAGAAGAGAACUCUGUGUCUGACCCAGAGAAGUGACCCUGGCUCUGUACCUGGUAAUGUUAUGUGGUGAACAUGCUUUUCCGGUGUUUGAUAUUUCUGUUCCUCGUGCUGGUCUUUCAGUCAUGACGUGUUCAUGUUAGUUCAAGGUUGACUAUCAUGUGUUCUAAUGAAGUAUUUGACUGGUGUUUUUUUUUUUUUGUAUCUUUGCAUGGUGGAGGUGUGGCUUUUAUGUGAAACAACCCCUUUUGGUUUCCCAGUUGUUGUUUUGUCAUGUGGGACAAUGUUACUGUCUCCAGGUGUUCUGACAUGCAGUGGACUCUCUCCCUAACACGGGUACCGACCAGUCUUGUUUUCCUGUGUUUGGGGUCCUGUACCGUGUCUGUCCAGACUCUGGCUAUGCAAACAGACCAAGGUGUGUGUUUACGUUUCCCCUGCAGAGCUGUCCUGUGCUCCAACACGUCCUGUGGUCAUCCCAGCUCCUCAGUGGGACACUUGUUGCAAUAUUCAUAAUCAAUGUAUUUUUAGCACUUUAUAAGACAUGUAUCCAACAGUGGUAUUGAAAACUGUUUCUGGUUUCAAUCAUUGGUUAUCUUUGCUUUCACAGAUGUAUAGUACUUUGUUUAUUGAUGUAUUUGUUUAUUGAACUUACUUUUUGAAAUGAUCUGUAGUAUCUGGUGGUUGGCUUAUCAGAGUGAUCCAUAUGCCCAUUCUGUCAACUGCAGUGUUUAUUGAUGAUAUAACUGCCUUAUAGAGAAGACAUUCUUCUAUUUUCAGUUCCCCUACAUAUUCGAAUGCUUUUAGAGAUGGCACUAAUGUUUUUUGUAUUAUUAUUGAUCAACAAUAUGAUUUGAUUUUCAAACAUUUAAGGUUUUGUCCUUGGCUUUAAGGGAGGUAUCCUAAGUCUGAUCUAAUCAUUUCAGGAUCCUCAAAGGAUUUAUUUUUUAAAAGAAAAUGAAAGGAAAUAAUCCAUAAUCCUGUUUGUUGAUGAAUUGUAGAAAGUCUACAUCCUUGUUUCUGUGUGUGCAUGCAUGUGUGUGAGUGAGUGUGAGUGAGUGAUGCCUCGUGUCAAAAUGACAGAACAAAAGAGAGAAACAAAUGGAUGUAACGAUGUACUGAUCAAAGAAGACCUGUUGCUCUCACCCUGCCUACCAUUAACCAGAGGUACAGAGUUCUUCCCAGGACUCUGUCCCAUCAGCUAUGAGCUAUUAGCUGUCAGCUUUCAACUAUGAACCAUUAGCUGUUAGCUAUCAACCAUGAGCUAUGAGCUAUCAGCAUGACUACGAAGGAUAUGCACCUCCAGGGGCCUCAGAGGCUCACAUUGGAACACUAGUCAUUACUAAGUCUAAUAAGGAAGCCUGGGCAUGAAGGGAUCUGCUUGCUACACAAGCUGAGAUGAGCCUGCACGUCAUGUGGACCAGGUUAGCCCAAGCUGGUGUGGGGACCAGAGGAUUGGGUUUGGGACUUCCUGUAUAUGUUGAUAAGAGUAUACUGUGAUAUGUAACUGUGAUGGUCACAUGUGUCUGCUGAAAACAACAUGCCUGUCUGUUUGUACAGUGUUUGUAAAAGACGUUAGAUGAUCACUGUGUAAAAAGAUUA